AUGUGGGCUAGCCAACCCUGAAAUAAUAGCAACCUCAGAAUUAUGAUCACAUAUUGCCCAUACAGCCCGGUCCCCACAUCAACUGGGCAUUAUGGAUCCUACACUCUCUGCCUGGUGUGGGUAGAUGAAACCUGGUAGUCUAUUCAUAUGCACCUGCGGGGUAAAAGCCGAACGGAUGCCUUGGAAGGCUCACUUCCCCUAUUAGCGAGUCAGUGCAAGUCAACCGCUCAACCUCUGAAUCGACUGUCCGCCCUGAGCACAGGCGGAACAAAGUGUCAUCCCCGUCGACGCGCGGAGCUGCAGCAGACAGAUGAAAUGAUGCUCCUGCGGGUUUUAUCCGCGGGUUGAGCGCACGCAGGAAAGGGCCCGGAGGCGCAUGCGGUCCUUGCUGCUGAAUAAUCAGCGCCUGAUGCUUGCAGGCUCGUGAGCCUGUCAAGCGCAGCGACUUUCAAAAGAACUUCAGGGAUCGAGACCCCCCCGGCUCCGUAAGAAAAGUUCCCCCGCAAACCACAGCGGGGCAGUGUUGCAUCAGCAGAGAGCAGGAUGGAGCCAGGAUGCGGUGAGAAGUGGAUCGGAGCGUUGGGAUGUGUAUUCAUGUUGAUUAAAAGGUGGCAGGGAGAAGUAUUUUCUGGGACUGAAAAUGCUUUGGGCACUGGACACUGCCCCCGGUGAUGGCAGUUUUCCCUGGUUCAUCUCCUGCGGUGGUGGUCCCAGUCGUUACCGUGAAAUAGGUUGUCAUGGCGGCGGCGUGUGAGGCCUCGCAGGGGGGCUGGCGAGUGCGAAUACGGACGGAAAGAUUAAUUAUGUCCUGGAGAAAAGGCACGGCGUCCCACACGGGCCCAUUCUGGCUCCGCUGGGGGACCCGGUCCAUCUGUCCGGUCCCACGGAGGGACCGCGGUGGCCAGACCUCGGUCCAAAUGCAUCUCGUUCAGCUGAUUUUUCUAUUAACAAGUUAAACCUCAGAGGCAUCCCUGCACAUCGUGCGACCGUAAUAACACCGGGGUAGGAGCCGAAAUGUGCGCGCACAAGGUCAUUUUAAUCCACUCAGCCGCAGCCACUGAAUCCACCUCUUUCACAAGGCUGAACUGACCAUUAAAUCAUCACAUUUAAAGGGCAAAAUCUAAAGAAAGUUAAAUGAUAUUCCUAUAUUCCUAUACUUACUUUAAUUACAUUCUUCAAAAAAGCUUUUAGUUUGCUUGAAACUGGAUAAGCCCACUUGCAAAAAAACAGUGUGGCAGUUUCUAGAUUAGGACAAUGGGCAGAUCAACACCUAAAAUACAAGAUUU